UUCUUUCAAAAAAAAAAAAAGAGGGAGAAAUGAAAAUCUCCUCAAUCUAUAUGGUAUUUUUACUUGCCCUCUCCUUUGUAUCGGGCAAUGAGGUAAUGGGGGUAGAUGCAAAAAAUUGUGUAAAAUCAAUUAUUGAGGGAAAAGACUGCAUUGCCAUUGCCUGUUCAUAUGAUUGUGAAACAAAAUUCGGAUCAUCUGCUGAGGGACAGUGUAUUUCUGACUUGGAAUGUCAAUGUACUUACCAUUGUUAAUUUCUUGUAAUUUUUUAUAUUUAAGGUUUUAAACAUGCUUUAUCAUUUUAAAUUAAAUAAAAGAUUUCUCUA